rnacentral:tRNA from 1 species
UAGCUCAGUGGUAGAGCAUUUGCCUUGUGUGUACAAGACACUGGGUUCAAUCCCCAG